UACGUAGGUGGCAAGCGUUUGUCCGGAAUUAUUGGGCGUAAAGCGCGCGCAGGCGGUUCUUUAAGUCUGAUGUGAAAGCCCACGGCUCAACCGUGGAGGGUCAUUGGAAACUGGAGAACUUGAGUACAGAAGAGGAAAGUGGAAUUCCACGUGUAGCGGUGAAAUGCGUAGAGAUGUGGAGGAACACCAGUGGCGAAGGCGACUUUCUGGCCUGUUCUUGACGCUGAGGCGCGAAAGCCAGGGGAGCAAACGGG
rnacentral:rRNA from 1 species